rnacentral:rRNA from 1 species
CCUACGGGGGGCAGCAGUGAGGAAUAUUGGUCAAUGGACGAGAGUCUGAACCAGCCAAGUAGCGUGAAGGAUGACUGCCCUAUGGGUUGUAAACCUCUUUUAUAUGGGAAUAAAAUGUUCCCCGUGUGGGCUUUUGUAUGUCCCAUAUGAAUAAGGUUCGGCUACCUCCGUGCCAGCACCCGCGUUAAUACGGAGGAUCCGAGCGUUUUCCGGAUUUCUUGGGUUUAAAGGGAGCGUAGGUGGUUUGUUAAGUCAGUUGUGAAAGUUUUCGGCUCAAACGUAAAAUAGCAGUUGAAACUGGCAGUCUAGAGUGCAGGAGAGGUAGGCGGAAUGCGUGGUGUAGCGGUGAAAUGCUUAGAUAUCACGAAGAACUCCGAUUGCGAAGGCAGCUCACUGGAGUGCAACUGACACUGAGGCUCGAAAGUGUGGGUAUCAAACAGGAUUAGAUACCCCUGUAGUC